GGCAGCCCAAAGACAAAAAUACUCUUCUCUGCUUGCUCCCAUUUACAUGUGAACUAGAAUGCUUCCAGGCUGGGAGAUAAGAGGGUGGGAUAUACCCUGCAGGCUUCUGGAAUCUGAGGGAAGGAGGGGAGCAUUGGCUGCCAUCCCCUCCAUGUGCCUCCCACGCUGGGCAGAGCCAGCUGGGUGGAACGGUUUUGCUCCUCCUGCCUUUUUGCCCAUGUUGAUAAUUUCUGUAAUGUGCAGGCUACCAGCUCCACACAACUUCUGUGUACAUUUCUCCCUAUGAGGUCCCACUGCAGCGCCUGUUCUGUGUGUGUACUUUCAUUUCAACUCCCAGAUUUGCACAGCUGAAUCCUAGGGUGCCUCACAGAAGGGAUGAAUUACUUUGGAGAUAUUCUGGCUGCUGCUGCUCAAAAUGGCAACUUUUACUUGGAAGUCAGGGAAGGUGCAAAGCUGAUGAGAGCUGCUGCUCAUAGACAGCUUUGGCUGGAAGGGUUUCAGACUGCUGAAUGAAGAUAGAAGGAAAAAUCAGCCUGAAAGGGAAUUUAUGUGAAAGUGAAGAAUGACUGUUACUACAGCUGAAUAUUCCAACCACUCUCCCAUUCCUCCAUCCAGAACAUUAAGCAUGUGGCACUUUGAGAAAGGAAAAACAAAACCCCCUCAACACAUAACAUAUGGACUUGCAGAAUUGUAUUGCCAUUAGUAUGGUUUUCACAAAUGUGUGAGAUUUUCCUAUGAAUGGGAAAUCACAAUAUGCAAAUUGUGAGGAUCUCACUUGCAAAGUAGGAAACUCAACAAGUCCAUAAAAUGAUUUGAGCUCAAGUUUUUACUGAAAGACAAUAAUUAAUUUUGAGACUUAGUUCUACUUUUCCCUAUCACUCCCACUGUUAAUUUGUUUUGCCCAAGUCCUAACUGUUGAACAGGACCAAAACAAAGAAAAUAGUGCAAGUAAAUAUGUAUGAAAAAUAUGGUUGGAUGUAUCAUCAGCAUGUGGAGGAUAGUCUGGGACACUCUUAGGUUUCUUCUGUUUCUGCAAAUUUCCAUCAUUUGCUGUUAAGUGCACAGAGCUGAUGCUUCCUAAUUAUGCAGUUUCACUUCUGUCACUUGUAUAAUCAACAAAAUAGAUGCAGAAAGUGCAAAGAGCUCUUGUGAUUUUUGCAAGCAGGCUUCUGGAACCCUGAGGAGACGUGAUCAAACAAGCACUGCAGUAAUAGUGGGGUUGCCACUUCAGACAAGCCAAAUGCCGGGAAGAGGAGAGCAGUGUUCAAUAUAUUGAAUCCUUACCCAUUGCUAAUUUUAUCUCAGCCAAAUCAGACUUUAAGGUUGUACAGAGGAAAAUGAGAUGAUUUCUGGACUUUCAUGUUCCUCACUCUGUGUAGGAGAUCAGACCAUGAUCAGACCAAAAAAAAAAAGAAAAUAAUUAGGGAGGGAUAGAAAAGUGCUUACGUCAAUUUUGCUUGUCAAGGUUUUUGUUAAUCCGAAUGUAAUUGUUAAUAUACAUCUCUAAACCUUUUGAAAUUAAAAUUAGAGCAAUGCAAGUACAUCCAUGUACCACUGACUACAUGUUCUGAUUACAGAGUUAAACAUCAUUCUAAAAUAAACAGAAUAUUAUGGAAUAAUAGGGAAAAAACCCCAAAAAGUUGAACAAUAAGGUUUUCCCUUUUUCUCUCAUCUCUCUCUCUGAGCCAAACACAGAUUGGAAAGAUUUCAAGAUUUCAGUUCUCAUGUUUUGUUUUUGCAUGACUUAACUCUGAGCACCCAGAAUACUUUAGAAACAGCAAUAAAUAAUGUAAUCUUUACCCCAGGUGAAACUAGAUUAUGUACAUAUCCACCACAAAUAACAGGGAGACUUAUCAGACACGACAGUGAUUCGGCCCCAUGGAGCACUAACAAGAACCUAAAUUAGCAUAAACCAAGCCACAAUUCCCAGACAAAAUUCUCUCAGGGAGUAGAAUUUGCAGGAGCUUCCAAUGAAACAGAUGGGAAGGAAAUUUCAUAUUUCCCAAUAAUAUCAGGUUAAACUGGUACUUGAUGUAGGUGCUGCUGUCCAUAUUUGAAGAAUAUAUUUUGCACACAAAAUGUAAAGCCAUUGAAAAAAUUAACUGUUUUGUAAAUGAAAAGCCUAUGGGUUUAAGUGAAGCAGUUAAUUAUGUUUGGAAUUCUGACACAACUAGAGUCUUAAUACCUGGAUUCCCACAUGCACCAGACAUUUUGCCACAUUACCACAGACAGCCAUGAGAACUCAAGAAAAUAAUUUCCCAGAAGACAUUUUAAUGGUAACCUUUAACUAUUAAAAUUGUUUCUGUUGGCUUUUUCAGACCAAUACAACAGUUUCCAUGAAUGUAAUUUAGGAACAAUUAAAUCAAUGAAUACUCCUGUAGCAAAUAGUUCUGGUCACAAGAAAGGAUGAAAAAUAUUUCAUUUGAUUAUUUCUGAAGAUAUGGUUAUGUUUUCUUUCACCCUUUUCCCCCAAAAAGUUCUUUUAAGCUUGACUUCUUUGAAAAACCAGUGUGCUCAUCCUUUUCCUCCCUUUGUCCCAACUUGACAGUAGACAGGAAAGAAGAAGAAAACCCCUGCAUUCCCUGAAUACAUUUUUAAUUGAACCAAUUUAUUUCAUCCACCCUAAGGAAAAAAAAAAGAAGCUGCCAUUUUUAGGACCAAUUUGUGUGCAUUGUUUGCUGCCUUGGUCUGUCAAGGAGUGUCUGUGGGGGAAUCUAAACCAGUUCAAGCUCUGUGCUGUAGCUACAAAUAGUGUUUCAUUUCUCACAUCCUUGACAAGCAUUUGAUUUGUGUCAAUUCCCUC